GCAGUCGAGCGAUUAAAGCCCCUUCGGGGGUAUAUAAAGCGGCGAACGGGUGAGUAACAGGUGGAUAACCUGCCUUCUGGUGGGGGAUAACGGCCGGAAACGGCCGCUAAUACCGCAUGUGAUUGUUCCGUCUCCGGAUGGAAUACGGAAAGGCGCUUCGGCGUCGCCAGAAGAUGGGUCCGCCCCCCAUUAGCUAGUUGGUGAGAUAACAGCUCACCAAGGCAACGAUGGGUAGCCGGACUGAGAGGUUGGCCGGCCACACUGGGACUGAGACACGGCCCAGACACCUACGGGUGGCAGCAGUAGGGAAUAUUGGACAAUGGGCGAAAGCCUGAUCCAGCCAUGCCGCGUGAACGACGAAGGCCUUCGGGUUGUAAAGUUCUUUUCUGAGGGAAGAACACCCCGGGGAGGUAAUGCCCCGGGCUUGACGGUACCUCAGGAAUAAGCAACGGCUAACUCCGUGCCAGCAGCCGCGGUAAUACGGAGGUUGCAAGCGUUGUUCGGAUUUACUGGGCGUAAAGGGAGCGCAGGCGGCUUGGUCAGUCGGGAGUGAAAGUCCGGGGCUCAACCUCGGAAAUGCUCCCGAUACUGCCAAGCUUGGGUUCGCGAGAGGCGAGUGGAAUUCCAGGUGUAGCGGUGAAAUGCGUAGAUAUCUGGAGGAGCACCAGUGGCGAAAGCGGCUCGCUGGCGCGAUACCGACGCUGAGGCUCGAAAGCGUGGG
rnacentral:rRNA from 1 species